AGUAACGCGUGAGGAACCUGCCUUUCAGUGGGGGAUAACACAUCGAAAGAUGUGCUAAUACCGCAUAACAUAGCGAUGGGGCAUCCCAUUGUUAUCAAAGAUUUAUUGCUGAAAGAUGGCCUCGCGUCCAAUUAGCUAGUUGGUGAGGUAACGGCCCACCAAGGCGACGAUUGGUAGCCGGACUGAGAGGUUGAACGGCCACAUUGGGACUGAGACACGGCCCAG
rnacentral:rRNA from 1 species